UGCGGGGUGUGCAGUGGUAGCUAAUCGGGUUCAUAUCCCGAACGUCGUGGGUUCGAAUCCCAUUCCCGCAACCA
rnacentral:tRNA from 1 species